rnacentral:rRNA from 1 species
UACGUAGGGGGCAAGCGUUGUCCGGAUUUAUUGGGCGUAAAGAGCGUGUAGGCGGUUAGGUAGGUCCGUUGUGAAAACUCGAGGCUCAACCUCGAGACGCCGAUGGAAACCAUCUGACUAGAGUCCGGAAGAGGAGAGUGGAAUUCCUGGUGUAGCGGUGAAAUGCGCAGAUAUCGGGAGGAACACCGGUGGCGAAGGCGGUCUCUGGGCCUGUACUGACGCUGAGGAGCGAAGCGUGGGGAGCGAACAGG